GCAUGGGGCGGUACAAGGGUUUGAAACUCCAUACAUGUGUAUGAGAAUCUGCAUGGAGUUUCAAACUCUUGAAUUGCUAUAUGC
rnacentral:pre_miRNA from 1 species